rnacentral:rRNA from 1 species
GAUGAACGCUGGCGGCGUGCCUAAUACAUGCAAGUCGAGCGAACGGACGAGAAGCUUGCUUCUCUGAUGUUAGCGGCGGACGGGUGAGUAACACGUGGAUAACCUACCUAUAAGACUGGGAUAACUUCGGGAAACCGGAGCUAAUACCGGAUAAUAUUUUGAACCGCAUGGUUCAAAAGUGAAAGACGGUCUUGCUGUCACUUAUAGAUGGAUCCGCGCUGCAUUAGCUAGUUGGUAAGGUAACGGCUUACCAAGGCAACGAUGCAUAGCCGACCUGAGAGGGUGAUCGGCCACACUGGAACUGAGACACGGUCCAGACUCCUACGGGAGGCAGCAGUAGGGAAUCUUCCGCAAUGGGCGAAAGCCUGACGGAGCAACGCCGCGUGAGUGAUGAAGGUCUUCGGAUCGUAAAACUCUGUUAUUAGGGAAGAACAUAUGUGUAAGUAACUGUGCACAUCUUGACGGUACCUAAUCAGAAAGCCACGGCUAACUACGUGCCAGCAGCCGCGGUAAUACGUAGGUGGCAAGCGUUAUCCGGAAUUAUUGGGCGUAAAGCGCGCGUAGGCGGUUUUUUAAGUCUGAUGUGAAAGCCCACGGCUCAACCGUGGAGGGUCAUUAGAAACUGGAAAACUUGAGUGCAGAAGAGGAAAGUGGAAUUCCAUGUGUAGCGGUGAAAUGCGCAGAGAUAUGGAGGAACACCAGUGGCGAAGGCGACUUUCUGGUCUGUAACUGACGCUGAUGUGCGAAAGCGUGGGGAUCAAACAGGAUUAGAUACCCUGGUAGUCCACGCCGUAAACGAUGAGUGCUAAGUGUUAGGGGGUUUCCGCCCCUUAGUGCUGCAGCUAACGCAUUAAGCACUCCGCCUGGGGAGUACGACCGCAAGGUUGAAACUCAAAGGAAUUGACGGGGACCCGCACAAGCGGUGGAGCAUGUGGUUUAAUUCGAAGCAACGCGAAGAACCUUACCAAAUCUUGACAUCCUUUGACAACUCUAGAGAUAGAGCUUUCCCCUUCGGGGGACAAAGUGACAGGUGGUGCAUGGUUGUCGUCAGCUCGUGUCGUGAGAUGUUGGGUUAAGUCCCGCAACGAGCGCAACCCUUAAGCUUAGUUGCCAUCAUUAAGUUGGGCACUCUAAGUUGACUGCCGGUGACAAACCGGAGGAAGGUGGGGAUGACGUCAAAUCAUCAUGCCCCUUAUGAUUUGGGCUACACACGUGCUACAAUGGACAAUACAAAGGGCAGCGAAACCGCGAGGUCAAGCAAAUCCCAUAAAGUUGUUCUCAGUUCGGAUUGUAGUCUGCAACUCGACUACAUGAAGCUGGAAUCGCUAGUAAUCGUAGAUCAGCAUGCUACGGUGAAUACGUUCCCGGGUCU